rnacentral:lncRNA from 1 species
CUGCAGGGUCUUGUUUGUUGCCUAUUUAUUUUUUUUUAAUCUUUUUAAGACAGGUCAUAUGCAUAUUACCUAGAGAGAUAAUAUUGUUAUUGGCAUUUUUUGAUUCUUCUGAUACUAGAAAGCUUUAGACUUCAUCUUUUAAGUCUUCUGAAAAGUAUAAUUUAAGGUAAUUCAGAGUGGCUCAAUUGUGGACUGAUACUAGCUACAAAAAAGUAAAUCAUGGAAGUAACUGGAAAAAAAAAAAACAGGUUUCGACCCCAAGGUACACAUCAAAAUAAUACACUCUAUGACCGUACUACAUAAAAG